rnacentral:misc_RNA from 1 species
GUUUGCACACCCCUACUUACAGAUAAGUGGGAAGUGAAGGAUCAAAGGUGGAAUUUCUAUUGGGGUAAAUCCAAAGAGAGACAGCAAGGUAGAGAGCGAAGGGAAGAGGGAGAGAUUUAUAGGGGUGGAGGAUGAGGGAAGGAGGGAGGACGAUGCUAAGCAAAAAUUUUGUUCAAUUACACAAUUGAUCCCUUUGAUUAUAUUGUUUAUCUAAAAUUGGACUGAUGAUUCUGAAAAUUAAUUUGGUUUUACUUAUGGUAUAAUUUUGCAGGGCUGAAAUUGUGAGGACUUAUGGUUUUACCUUUUUCUCUUGGAGGAGAAAGUUGG